rnacentral:lncRNA from 1 species
UUCUACAAGCUUUUUGUUGAUAGUGUCAUCUUAGACCACAUGUUUACAUCCACUUUUCAGGUUUAUAAAUUAAGAUCAUUUUUUUUCUCUGAGUACCCUUAAAAGGGUUGUAAAGACGUACUUAAGGGUCCUCUACUAAACCUAGAGAACAGAAAAGAAAUGGAGAAGAGAAAAAGUUGACCAGAAAAGGGUAAGAAAGUUUGCAGAUAGUAGAGAUUGCAAAUAAUACAUCAGAUAUUUCUGGCUUUAGCCAGUGGUGUCCUGGCUUUUAGCUGCUCUUUAAAGCACAGGGCAAAAAUUGUAGACUUG